rnacentral:rRNA from 1 species
GAGUUUGAUCAUGGCUCAGGAUGAACGCUAGCGACAGGCUUAACACAUGCAAGUCGAGGGGCAGCGGGGUAGUGCUUGCACUACUGCCGGCGACCGGCGCACGGGUGAGUAACACGUAUGGAACCUGCCCGCAACAGGGGGAUAAGCGGAAGAAAUUCCGUCUAAUACCGCGUAACAUGAGAGGGAGGCAUCUCCCUCUCAUCAAAGAUUCAUCGGUUGCGGAUGGCCAUGCGGCGCAUUAGCUAGUCGGCGGGGUAACGGCCCACCGAGGCGACGAUGCGUAGGGGUUCUGAGAGGAAGGUCCCCCAACUGGUACUGAGACACGGACCAGACUCCUACGGGAGGCAGCAGUGAGGAAUAUUGGUCAAUGGCCGAGAGGCUGAACCAGCCAAGUCGCGUGAGGGAUGACGGCCCUACGGGUUGUAAACCUCU